AAUCUUGCGCAAUGGGCGAAAGCCUGACGCAGCCAUGCCGCGUGAAUGAUGAAGGUCUUAGGAUUGUAAAAUUCUUUCACCGGGGAAGAAAAUGACGGUACCCGGAGAAGAAGCCCCGGCUGACUUCGCUCCAGCAGCCGCGUUAAACCGAAGGGGGCUGGCGUUGCGCGGAAUUACUGGGCGUAAAGGGCGCGUAGGCGGACUUUUAAGUCAGGGGUGAAAUCCCAGAGCUCAACUCUGGAACGGCCUUUGAUACUGGGUGUCUUGAGUGUGAGAGAGGUAUGUGGAACUCCGAGUGUAGAGGUGAAAUUCGUAGAUAUUCGGAAGAACACCAGUGGCGAAGGCGACAUACUGGCUCAUUACUGACGCGGGGGCGCGAAAGCGUGGGGAGCAAACAG
rnacentral:rRNA from 1 species